UACGUAGGGGGCAAGCGUUGUCCGGAAUCAUUGGGCGUAAAGAGCGCGUAGGCGGCCCUGUAAGUCCGCUGUGAAAGUCAAGGGCUCAACCCUUGGAUGCCGGUGGAUACUGUCGGGCUCGAAUCCGGAAGAGGUGAGUGGAAUUCCUGGUGUAGCGGUGAAAUGCGCAGAUAUCAGGAGGAACACCAAUGGCGAAGGCAGCUCACUGGGACGGUAUUGACGCUGAGACGCGAAAGCGUGGGGAGCAAACAGG
rnacentral:rRNA from 1 species